GGCUGGGUGGUGUAGUUGGUUAUCACGUUUGUCUAACAUUGUUAAGUUUCCACAAAAGGUCCCGAGUUCAAGUCUCGGCCGAGUCA